GAGGACAUAGCUCAGUGGUAGAGCGCAUGCUUAGCAGGCACUAGGUCCUGGGUUCAAUCCCCAGUGCCUCCA
rnacentral:tRNA from 1 species